rnacentral:rRNA from 1 species
AGCAGCCACAAUAAUUCCAGCUCCAAUAGUGUAUAUUAAAGUUGUUGCAGUUAAAAAGCUCGUAGUUGAAUUUCGGGAUUCUACCGUUGGUCGGGCUAUCCAGUCUGUACUAGUGUGUAGAAUUUCUACCUUCUGGGGAACCACCAUGUUAUUAAUUUAGCGUGAUGGGAAACCAGGACCUUUACCUUGAAAAAAUUAGAGUGUUCAAAGCAGGCUUACGUCUGAAUACAUUAGCAUGGAAUAAUAAAAUAGGACGGUGGUCCUGUUUUGUUGGUUUCUGAAUCACCGUAAUGAUUAAUAGGGAUAGUUGGGGGCAUUAGUAUUCAAUUGUCAGAGGUGAAAUUCUUGGAUUUAUUGAAGACUAACUUCUGCGAAAGCAUUUGCCAAGGAUGUUUCAUUAAUCAAGAACGAAAGUUAGGGAUCGGAAGACGAUCAGAUACGUCGUAGUCUUAACCAUAAACUAUGACCGAUAGGGAUACGGACGAUGUUUAAUUUUUAANGUAC